rnacentral:rRNA from 1 species
CCUACGGGGGGCAGCAGUGGGGAAUAUUGCACAAUGGGCGCAAGUCUGAUGCAGCGACGCCGCGUGAGGGAUGGAGGCCUUCGGGUUGUAAACCUCUUUCGCCAGUGAAGCAGGCCUGUCCCUUGUGGGUGGGUUGACGGUAGCUGGAUAAGAAGCGCCGGCUAACUACGUGCCAGCAGCCGCGGUAAUACGUAGGGCGCGAGCGUUGUCCGGAAUUAUUGGGCGUAAAGAGCUCGUAGGCGGCUGGUCGCGUCUGUCGUGAAAUCCUCUGGCUUAACUGGGGGCUUGCGGUGGGUACGGGCCGGCUUGAGUGCGGUAGGGGAGACUGGAACUCCUGGUGUAGCGGUGGAAUGCGCAGAUAUCAGGAAGAACACCGGUGGCGAAGGCGGGUCUCUGGGCCGUUACUGACGCUGAGGAGCGAAAGCGUGGGGAGCGAACAGGAUUAGAUACCCUAGUAGUC